rnacentral:lncRNA from 1 species
CAUUAAUGGUUUACAUAUUUUUUUCAGUACAUGCAUGAAGAUGACUUGGAGGCAAUGGUGUCAUACAUGUUAGUUUUAACUAUAAUAGCAUUACUGAAAUUUGAAAAAAAAGUUAUCAGAGGAAAAGAGUGACCACUUCUUUCUUAUGAAGAUCAACACACACAAGGAAAUUAUCAGACAAUUUGUAACCAGAUAUGGGUGCAGUUUUAGAUAUAUGCAUGAAAGAAAGUGAAAUCAAUGUUUUUUUUAGAUAAAAGCUUGAUGAUAUAACAAAAUUAUAACAGUGCUGAAUAUGAAAACCCC